rnacentral:rRNA from 1 species
GACGAACGCUGGCGGCGUGCCUAAUACAUGCAAGUUGAGCGCUGAAGGUUGGUACUUGUACCAACUGGAUGAGCAGCGAACGGGUGAGUAACGCGUGGGGAAUCUGCCUUUGAGCGGGGGACAACAUUUGGAAACGAAUGCUAAUACCGCAUAAAAACUUUAAACACAAGUUUUAAGUUUGAAAGAUGCAAUUGCAUCACUCAAAGAUGAUCCCGCGUUGUAUUAGCUAGUUGGUGAGGUAAAGGCUCACCAAGGCGAUGAUACAUAGCCGACCUGAGAGGGUGAUCGGCCACAUUGGGACUGAGACACGGCCCAAACUCCUACGGGAGGCAGCAGUAGGGAAUCUUCGGCAAUGGACGAAAGUCUGACCGAGCAACGCCGCGUGAGUGAAGAAGGUUUUCGGAUCGUAAAACUCUGUUGGUAGAGAAGAACGUUGGUGAGAGUGGAAAGCUCAUCAAGUGACGGUAACUACCCAGAAAGGGACGGCUAACCACGUG